AGUUUUGUGCAGUGGCACUGUCUUGGUCAAUGAAGUUUAUCCGAGGUGCGAUUAUUGCUCAUUGAAAGAUACUAGAAAUGAUGUCAUUCCCUUCUGUCCUCCUGGAUUAAAAUCUUAAGUCUAUUAGUGAUUAGGGGCCAUCAUGAAGUUAAAAUCUUUGAUCUUAUGUUUCUGUU
rnacentral:snRNA from 1 species